rnacentral:lncRNA from 1 species
UUGAUCCCAAGCACUCCAGGCAGGGUCAGAAAAGGAUCCAGUUCAAAGUUCUGGAGAUUCAUGGCUGUUAGUGUCAAAAAAGGCAAGAUGGGAUGGGCCAUAGGUCUGACUCAGCCAUUUUCAACAGGAGGGCCUUGGUACAUUUCAAAGGGGGGGGCACAGACUAAAAAAAUGUGGGAAAUUUAAAAAAAAAUCUGUUUGUAUUGAAUCCUUGAUUUUCAGGGGGCUCUGGAACCUGGAAGCUCUUCGGAAAAAAAUUGAGAACGGCUGGUUUGUUUUAGUAAAUUAAGAAUCUGACACAGGAAAACCUGCCAGAGAGAAAAAGUAGCUUCCCCCACAUCAGGCUCACCCAACCACUGGCUGGCUUGAUGGUCUUCUAGCUCUAAAUUGGACAUAAGGAAGAUGACGGUAUCUAAGCUGCAUUGCUUCUCAUCCAUUUAGGAUUUGACAGGUCACCACUGCCUUAUCAGUUGUCUCCCUAUUUCAGAAUUUUGAUGCCGUGUACUCCUGGGAGUCGAGCUUCUGCAAGGAGUGAAGGUUGUCAUGUUUUGCCUCAGCUGACGUAUUCAAAGAGUUUUCCAAGGUUUCCACACAGAGAAUGGAAAACAGCCCUGACUCUCCUGUAAAGAAAACAUAGGCUCCUAUAAGUUCUGCUCCAAAUAGACUAUUUCUUUUUUAAAAAAUAAUCUUAAAGAUUUGCAUGAGAAAAGACCCAACGUUGGAAACAUUGUUUGCUUUGGACUAAAACGGCCAGGCAUCCUGCAGCCCCAGCAGCUUGGCCUGGGGAUCCUGUAAGGGUUGUCAUCUAUAAAAGUGACUCUUCUAAGGGAGAGAUAUGAAAUGGUAAAGGAAAAUCUUGCAAUGAAUUAAUGUCGCUGAUUUCAGCGAGACCGAAGGAUUUGCAAAAGUGCAAAGAGAGGUUGUCUGAAUCCUUCUUAAAGUGUGGUGUCCAUGUAAGUACAAAGGACAUUUCAAUUACUCCUCCGCCUCCCUUGUACUUGUGAAUCAUUGCUGCAGAGAAGCUCUUGGAAGAUAUUGUUCAAAAUGCAUUUGGCCUGCAAUAAAUAAACUAUUUUCCUCA